CAUUUGCUAUCAGUUUUCUUUUAAAGGUCCAACGGCCUUCAGCUUACUAAACAUGUUACUCUUUGGACGCCACCAACCACUCCAACGACAGUCCCUGCCCCUAUGAACACCACCCUUCACACUUCCACCACCACUGUACCCCUAAAAAUCAAAACCCAUUUCAAAUUCCUUCCUCACCCUACCAUCGCCCCAAAUCUAGUGGCCCCGCUUGCCUGCCCCUCAAAACACGCAAACACUUAGCCUUGCCAACACCAGCACUUAGCUUCUUGAAAACUAACCCAAACACCAAUGUCUCGCCAUUAGCCACCAAGACAAACAUCUCUGGCCAUCCUCCAUCCCCAAUCCUAACCACCUACAAAGCUCUAACAAUGCCAGCCUUCAAUUGUGGGGUGUUAUUAAGGAUAUUCAGAGGAGGGGGAGUCACAGAGAGGAUGUUGUAAGGAGUAAGGGUUAAGGGGUGGGGUUUCAGGUGAGGUUGGGUAGCAAGGAGGGGGCUUUGGGGAUGAGCGGCAACGGGUAAGGUUCGUGUUGGGUAGGAUGGCCCUAGUUGUGGUGGCUAGUGGACUAAACUAUGGGAAAGGAAUUCAAGAAGAGGAUGAUGAUGAGAGUUUAUGUUGUGAGAGUUUGAAGCAUUCUUCAAGGUUUAUGGCACUUCCAAGACCUAACUUGUCAGUUAGGGUUAAUAGACUUAUGAAAGUCAUGUUUCAAGGUCAUGUGUAGCGAGGGAAUGCAAGAUUGUUGCUUAGUGCGAGGGGACCUGAGGUUGCGUUCAGGUAGUUGCUUUCUUUGUUGUUGUGGUGAUGUUAGCUUCAUAUUUCAGUGCUGAAGCUGCCCAAGCAACAGUGGCUAUGAAAAGGUGUCUUUCAACAUGGUAGUAUUGUAGCUAAUGUUGUAUCUACAUGGGCAGGGACUAAAGCUUUUGCAUCGAGGGACUACAACUCCGUCUCAGAAGCUGGUACUGAAAAAAGACAACACUGUUAACUAGUUAAAGUGUUCAGAUUUUUUGUCUAAUACGUUAGUGUAAUAGAUGAAAUGAUUGUAUAGAGAAUAGUUUCUAAUGUACUAUUCAAUCACUUGUUCUAUAUAUAUAUAUAUAUAUAUAUAUAUAUAUAUAUAUAUAUAUAUAUGAUACAAAUAAGAAUUUUUCUACUAGUGAAUUGUGAAAUAAACAUCAAUCAAUCAAGUUUUGUAGUAUGGAUUAUUCAAAGAAGGAA